GACGAACGCUGGCGGCGUGCUUAACACAUGCAAGUCGAACGGAAAGGCCCUGCUUUUGUGGGGUGCUCGAGUGGCGAACGGGUGAGUAACACGUGAGUAACCUGCCCUUGACUUUGGGAUAACUUCAGGAAACUGGGGCUAAUACCGGAUAGGAGCUCCUGCUGCAUGGUGGGGGUUGGAAAGUUUCGGCGGUUGGGGAUGGACUCGCGGCUUAUCAGCUUGUUGGUGGGUAGUGGCGUACCAAGGCUUUGACGGGUAGCCGGCCUGGGAGGGUGACCGGCCACAUUGGGACUGAGAUACGGCCCAGACUCCUACGGGAGGCAGCAGUGGGGAAUAUUGCACAAUGGGCGGAAGCCUGAUGCAGCAACGCCGCGUGCGGGAUGACGGCCUUCGGGUUGUAAACCGCUUUCGCCUGUGACGAAGCGUGAGUGACGGUAAUGGGUAAAGAAGCACCGGCUAACUACGUG
rnacentral:rRNA from 1 species